rnacentral:rRNA from 1 species
GAUGAACGCUGGCGGCGUGCCUAAUACAUGCAAGUCGAGCGAACAGACGAGGAGCUUGCUCCUCUGACGUUAGCGGCGGACGGGUGAGUAACACGUGGAUAACCUACCUAUAAGACUGGGAUAACUUCGGGAAACCGGAGCUAAUACCGGAUAAUAUAUUGAACCGCAUGGUUCAAUAGUGAAAUACGGUUUUGCUGUCACUUAUAGAUGGAUCCGCGCCGGAUUAGCUAGUUGGUAAGGUAACGGCCUACCAAGGCAACGAUGCGUAGCCGAGCUGACAGGGGGAUCGGCCACGUGGGAAGUGAGACACGGUCCAGGCGCCGACGGGAGGCAGAAGUCGGGAAGGUGCCGAAAUGGGGGAAAGCCUGACGGAGCGACGCCGCGUGAGUGAUGAAGGUCUUCGGAUCGUAAAACUCUGUUAUUAGGGAAGAACAAAUGUGUAAGUAACGAUGCGCGUCUGGACGGUACCUAAUCAGAAAGCCACGGCUAAUUACGG